UAACACAUGCAAGUCGAACGGACCUAGCCCGGUAGUAAUAUUGGGCGACGGUUAGUGGCGAACGGGUGAGUAACGCGUGAGCAACCUGCCUUUCAGAGGGGGAUAACAACUGGAAACAGUUGCUAAUACCGCAUAAUGUAUUUAGAUGGCAUCAUUUGGAUACCAAAGGUUAAAUCCGCUGAGAGAUGGGCUCACGUCUGAUUAGCUAGAUGGUAGGGUAAGGGCCUACCAUGGCUGCGAUCAGUAGCCGGUCUGAGAGGAUGAACGGCCACAUUGGGACUGAGACACGCCCCAGACUCCUACGGGAGGCAGCAGUGGGGAAUAUUGGGCAAUGGGCGCAAGCCUGACCCAGCAACGCCGCGUGAAGGAAUAAGGCCUUCGGGUUGUAAACUUCUUUUAUUAGGGAAGAAGGAUGUGACGGUACCUAAUGAAUAAGCCACGGCUAACUACGUGCCAGCAGCCGCGGUAAUACGUACGUGGCAAGCGUUGUCCGGAUUUACUGGGUGUAAAGGGCGCGUAGGCGGGAAUGCAAGUCAGAUGUGAAAUCCAUGGGCUCAACCCAUGAACUGCAUUUGAAACUGUGUUUCUUGAGUGAUGGAGAGGCAGGCGGAAUUCCUAGUGUAGCGGUGAAAUGCGUAGAUAUUAGGAGGAACACCAGUGGCGAAGGCGGCCUGCUGGACACCAACCGACGCUGAUGCGCGAAAGCGCGGGGAGCAAACAGGAUCAGAUACCCUGGUAGCCCCCGCCGUAAACGAUGAAUACUAGGUGUGGGGGGACUGACCCCUUCCGUGCCGGAGCAAACGCAAUAAGUAUUCCACCUGGGGACUACGGUCGCAAGACUAAAACUCCAAAGGAAAUUGACGAGAGGCCCCACACAAGCAGUGGAAUUAUGUGGUUUAAUUCGAAGCAACGCGAGAACCCUUACCCGGGGUUUGACAUCCGACUACGAAGCAGAGAUGCAUUAGGUGCCCUUCGGGGAAAGUCGAGGCAGGUGGUGCAUGGUUGUCGUCAGCUCGUGUCGUGAGAUGUUGGGUUAAGUCCCGCAACGAGCGCAACCCUUGUUGUUAGUUGCUACGUAAGAGCACUCUAACGAGACUGCCGUUGACAAAACGGAGGAAGGUGGGGACGACGUCAAAUCAUCAUGCCCCUUAUAUCCCGGGCUACACACGUAAUACAAUGGCGUUUAACAACGGGAAGCGAAGGAGCGAUCCGGAGCGAAUCCCCAAAAGGCGUCUCAGUUCGGAUUGCAGGCUGCAACUCGCCUGCAUGAAGUAGGAAUUGCUAGUAACCGCGGAUCAGCAUGCCGCGGUGAAUACGUUCCCGGGCCUUGUACACACCGCCCGUCACACCAUGAGAGUCGGGAACACCCGAAGUCGGUAGUCUAACCUGAUAAGGAGGGCGCCGCCGAAGGUGGGCUUGAUAAUUGAGGGUG
rnacentral:rRNA from 1 species